ensembl:snRNA U2 U2 spliceosomal RNA
AUCCCUUCUCGACCUUUUGUCUAAGAUCAAGUGUACUAUCUGUUUUUAUCAGUUUCAUACCUGAUAUGUCCUCUCUCCAAGGACAAUAUAUUAAAUGGAUUCCUGGAAGUAGGACUUGGAAUAGGAGCUAGCUCUGUCCGCUCCAUGAAUUGACCUGGUAUUGCAGCACCUCCAGGAACAGUGCACCAAAA